rnacentral:rRNA from 1 species
ACGCUUUUCUUUCACCCGGAGCUUGCUCCACCGAAAGAAAAGGAGUGGCGAACGGGUGAGUAACACGUGGGUAACCUGCCCAUCAGAAGGGGAUAACACUUGGAAACAGGUGCUAAUACCGUAUAACAAUCGAAACCGCAUGGUUUCGGUUUGAAAGGCGCUUUUGCGUCACUGAUGGAUGGACCCGCGGUGCAUUAGCUAGUUGGUGAGGUAACGGCUCACCAAGGCAACGAUGCAUAGCCGACCUGAGAGGGUGAUCGGCCACAUUGGGACUGAGACACGGCCCAAACUCCUACGGGAGGCAGCAGUAGGGAAUCUUCGGCAAUGGACGCAAGUCUGACCGAGCAACGCCGCGUGAGUGAAGAAGGUUUUCGGAUCGUAAAACUCUGUUGUUAGAGAAGAACAAGGAUGAGAGUAAAAUGUUCAUCCCUUGACGGUAUCUAACCAGAAAGCCACGGCUAACUACGUGCCAGCAGCCGCGGUAAUACGUAGGUGGCAAGCGUUGUCCGGAUUUAUUGGGCGUAAAGCGAGCGCAGGCGGUUUCCUAAGUCUGAUGUGAAAGCCCCCGGCUCAACCGGGGAGGGUCAUUGGAAACUGGGGAACUUGAGUGCAGAAGAGGAGAGUGGAAUUCCAUGUGUAGCGGUGAAAUGCGUAGAUAUAUGGAGGAACACCAGUGGCGAAGGCGGCUCUCUGGUCUGUAACUGACGCUG